UACGUAGGGUGUGAGCGUUAAUCGGAAUUACUGGGCGUAAAGCGUGCGCAGGCGGUUUUGUAAGCCAGAUGUGAAAGCCCCGGGCUUAACCUGGGAAUGGCAUUUGGGACUGCAAGGCUAGAGUGCGGCAGAGGAGACUGGAAUUCCUGGUGUAGCAGUGAAAUGCGUAGAUAUCAGGAGGAAUACCGAUGGCGAAGGCAGGUCUCUGGGCUGACACUGACGCUCAUGCACGAAAGCGUGGGGAGCAAACAGG
rnacentral:rRNA from 1 species